rnacentral:rRNA from 1 species
GACAGAGGGUGCAAACGUUGUUCGGAAUUACUGGGCGUAAAGCGCGUGUAGGCGGCCCUGCAAGUCGGGUGUGAAAUCCCACGGCUCAACCGUGGAAGUGCAUUCGAAACUGCAGGGCUAGAGUCCUGGAGAGGAAGGUGGAAUGCUUGGUGUAGAGGUGAAAUUCGUAGAUAUCAAGCGGAACACCGGUGGCGAAGGCGGCCUUCUGGACAGUGACCGACGCUGAGACGCGAAAGCGUGGGGAGCAAACAGG